CCGUUUCAGCCUCCGCCUCUCGCAUUAUCGAAAAAGACUGUGCCCCUAAAACCCCCUCCGUAAAACCCCCUUCCACUAUCCCUAAGCUGCCCGUUCCACCUGUCACUAUCCCUAAGCUGCCCGUUCCACCCGUCUCAAUUCCCAAAUUGCCCCUCCCACCGGUCUCAAUUCCCAAACUACCCCUCCCACCCGUAGCUGUCCCUAAACUGCCCCUCCCACCAGUAGCUGUCCCAAAACUGCCCCUCCCACCAGUAGCAGUGCCGAAACUGCCCCUCCCACCAGUCACAUUGCCCAAUCUGCCAUUGCCGCCAGUGGCAAUCCCCAAACUGCCCCUCCCACCAGUUGGAAUCCCUCCAGUGCUGGACCCACCAACCACCGG
rnacentral:lncRNA from 1 species